rnacentral:rRNA from 1 species
GACGAACGCUGGCGGCGUGCUUAACACAUGCAAGUCGAACGGAAAGGCCCUGCUUUUGUGGGGUGCUCGAGUGGCGAACGGGUGAGUAACACGUGAGUAACCUGCCCUUGACUUUGGGAUAACUUCAGGAAACUGGGGCUAAUACCGGAUAGGAGCUCCUGCUGCAUGGUGGGGGUUGGAAAGUUUCGGCGGUUGGGGAUGGACUCGCGGCUUAUCAGCUUGUUGGUGGGGUAGUGGCUUACCAAGGCUUUGACGGGUAGCCGGCCUGGGAGGGUGACCGGCCCCAUUGUCCCGAGGGUGGCCCCCGUGCGCCCUCGGGGGCCAGGGGGGGGAAUUUUUGCCCAUUGGGCGGAGGCCGGGGGGAACACCCCCGGGUUGGGGAGGCCGGCUUUCGGGUUGGAAACCCCUUUGGCUUUUACCGAGCUGUGAUGGCCGGUAAGGGGUAAAGAGCCCCCGCCAACUUCCUG